rnacentral:rRNA from 1 species
AUGAUCAGGGCCUUCCAGGAUAAUGCAAUUGAUGCAGCGAUUGUUGGUGGCCAGCAUGCUGGAAAGAGGGUGUUCAUACCUAGGAUCCCUAUGUCACCCUCCGAGGACACCUCACUUCCCUUCAAGCUUAAGAGAAAGCAGUUCCCUAUCCGCGUGAGUUUUGUGAUGACCAUUAACAAGGCACAGGGUCAAACCAUCCCAAAUGUUGGUAUUUACCUUCCAGAACCUGUUUUCUCACAUGGCCAACUAUAUGUUGCAUUGUCAAGGGGUGUCUCAAGAAAGACGACGCGGAUUAUAGCCAAGCCUAACAAGGAGGUUGAUAAAUCUGGAAGAAGCACCAAAAACAUUGUCUACAGAGAUGUUUUAGAGGGGUGA